rnacentral:tRNA from 1 species
GGGGGCAUAGGGCUCCUGGUGGGGUCCCGGGACUUCAAAUCCUGUGGCGGGCCCGUCGGGUCCGCGGUGGGUUCGAUUCCCACAUGCUCCCGCCA